AUGCCGCUUGACGAUAUGUUUGCGGAGAGCGGUGACCAGUUCAACUUCGAUGGUUUCCACCUGCUGUGCUCCGACGAGAAGCCCUCCUCCUUCGGCGUGGUCUGCGUCUUGGGGGAUGUGACUAAGGUUCGUGCCGCCGUCUUCUCGUCAGAGACUUGGGAAUGGGUCGUCCACCCGUGGGUCGACAUCGGAGCAGAAAGGAAGCUAAGGUUCAGGAGCGGCAUGCUGGUGGGUUCUUCUAUUUAUUGGCCUUACAACUGGCUGGUGCAAGGGUACAAUUUCAAGAUUGGGGACACUGAGGACGGCGAGCUUUGCAUUGUGUAUGCACUGGACUCCCUUCUCCAUGUUUGGACCCGUCGAGCGGACGACGACGGCGGGAUCGAGAGAUGGGUACCACACAAGACAUUCUCUUUGAUUGAAGAUAUUGGUUGGAUUACUGAGACAUUGCGGGGCAUGUAUACCGGCCUGGAAGUUUUGGAAGUUAGGGCAGGGUGCGUGUACAUGGCGACAAAGCACAGUUCACCUUGCCGCUGGUUCUUCUCCCUUUCAUUGGAUACCAUGGAGAUUGAGAGGCUAUUUCAGGGGAGAUGUGAUGGCCAGGCCUAUCCGUAUAUUAUGGCCUGGCCUCCUUUGGUCGGCGAUCAUGGGAGCAUUGGACAUGAUGGGGUUGAAGGUUCUCAGUGA
rnacentral:rRNA from 1 species